rnacentral:rRNA from 1 species
AGGGUUUGAUCAUGGCUCAGAUUGAACGCUGGCGGCAGCCCUUAUACAUGCAAGUCGAACGAGAAAGUUCCUUCGGGAGCGAGUAAAGUGGCGGACGGGUGAGUAACGCGUAGGAAUCUACCUUUCAGUGGGGGAUAGCUCGGGGAAACUCGAAUUAAUACCGCAUAUACCCUUCGGGGGAAAGGGGGCCUCUCCUUGGAAGCUCUCGCUGUUAGAUGAGCCUGCGUGAGAUUAGCUUGUUGGUAAGGUAAUGGCUUACCAAGGCUACGAUCUCUAGCUGGUCUGAGAGGACGAUCAGCCACACUGGGACUGAGACACGGCCCAGACUCCUACGGGAGGCAGCAGUAGGGAAUAUUGGACAAUGGGGGAAACCCUGAUCCAGGCAUGCCGCGUGUGUGAAGAAGGCCUUAGGGUUGUAAAGCACUUUAAGUGAGGAAGAAAAGAUUUAAAUUAAUACUUUAAAUCCCUGACAUUACUCACAGAAUAAGGACCGGCUAACUCCGUGCCAGCCGCCGCGGUAAUAC